UUAAGCGACUAAGCGUACACGGUGGAUGCCCUGGCAGUCAGAGGCGAUGAAGGACGUGCUAAUCUGCGAUAAGCGUCGGUAAGGUGAUAUGAACCGUUAUAACCGGCGAUUUCCGAAUGGGGAAACCCAGUGUGAUUCGUCACACUAUCAUUAACUGAAUCCAUAGGUUAAUGAGGCGAACCGGGGGAACUGAAACAUCUAAGUACCCCGAGGAAAAGAAAUCAACCGAGAUUCCCCCAGUAGCGGCGAGCGAACGGGGAGCAGCCCAGAGCCUGAAUCAGUGUGUGUGUUAGUGGAAGCGUCUGGAAAGGCGCGCGAUACAGGGUGAUAGCCCCGUACACAAAAAUGCACAUGCUGUGAGCUCGAUGAGUAGGGCGGGACACGUGGUAUCCUGUCUGAAUAUGGGGGGACCAUCCUCCAAGGCUAAAUACUCCUGACUGACCGAUAGUGAACCAGUACCGUGAGGGAAAGGCGAAAAGAACCCCGGCGAGGGGAGUGAAAAAGAACCUGAAACCGUGUACGUACAAGCAGUGGGAGCACGCUUAGGCGUGUGACUGCGUACCUUUUGUAUAAUGGGUCAGCGACUUAUAUUCUGUAGCAAGGUUAACCGAAUAGGGGAGCCGAAGGGAAACCGAGUCUUAACUGGGCGUUAAGUUGCAGGGUAUAGACCCGAAACCCGGUGAUCUAGCCAUGGGCAGGUUGAAGGUUGGGUAACACUAACUGGAGGACCGAACCGACUAAUGUUGAAAAAUUAGCGGAUGACUUGUGGCUGGGGGUGAAAGGCCAAUCAAACCGGGAGAUAGCUGGUUCUCCCCGAAAGCUAUUUAGGUAGCGCCUCGUGAAUUCAUCUCCGGGGGUAGAGCACUGUUUCGGCAAGGGGGUCAUCCCGACUUACCAACCCGAUGCAAACUGCGAAUACCGGAGAAUGUUAUCACGGGAGACACACGGCGGGUGCUAACGUCCGUCGUGAAGAGGGAAACAACCCAGACCGCCAGCUAAGGUCCCAAAGUCAUGGUUAAGUGGGAAACGAUGUGGGAAGGCCCAGACAGCCAGGAUGUUGGCUUAGAAGCAGCCAUCAUUUAAAGAAAGCGUAAUAGCUCACUGGUCGAGUCGGCCUGCGCGGAAGAUGUAACGGGGCUAAACCAUGCACCGAAGCUGCGGCAGCGACGCUUAUGCGUUGUUGGGUAGGGGAGCGUUCUGUAAGCCUGUGAAGGUGUGCUGUGAGGCAUGCUGGAGGUAUCAGAAGUGCGAAUGCUGACAUAAGUAACGAUAAAGCGGGUGAAAAGCCCGCUCGCCGGAAGACCAAGGGUUCCUGUCCAACGUUAAUCGGGGCAGGGUGAGUCGACCCCUAAGGCGAGGCCGAAAGGCGUAGUCGAUGGGAAACAGGUUAAUAUUCCUGUACUUGGUGUUACUGCGAAGGGGGGACGGAGAAGGCUAUGUUGGCCGGGCGACGGUUGUCCCGGUUUAAGCGUGUAGGCUGGUUUUCCAGGCAAAUCCGGAAAAUCAAGGCUGAGGCGUGAUGACGAGGCACUACGGUGCUGAAGCAACAAAUGCCCUGCUUCCAGGAAAAGCCUCUAAGCAUCAGGUAACAUCAAAUCGUACCCCAAACCGACACAGGUGGUCAGGUAGAGAAUACCAAGGCGCUUGAGAGAACUCGGGUGAAGGAACUAGGCAAAAUGGUGCCGUAACUUCGGGAGAAGGCACGCUGAUAUGUAGGUGAAGUCCCUCGCGGAUGGAGCUGAAAUCAGUCGAAGAUACCAGCUGGCUGCAACUGUUUAUUAAAAACACAGCACUGUGCAAACACGAAAGUGGACGUAUACGGUGUGACGCCUGCCCGGUGCCGGAAGGUUAAUUGAUGGGGUCAGCGCAAGCGAAGCUCUUGAUCGAAGCCCCGGUAAACGGCGGCCGUAACUAUAACGGUCCUAAGGUAGCGAAAUUCCUUGUCGGGUAAGUUCCGACCUGCACGAAUGGCGUAAUGAUGGCCAGGCUGUCUCCACCCGAGACUCAGUGAAAUUGAACUCGCUGUGAAGAUGCAGUGUACCCGCGGCAAGACGGAAAGACCCCGUGAACCUUUACUAUAGCUUGACACUGAACAUUGAGCCUUGAUGUGUAGGAUAGGUGGGAGGCUUAGAAGUGUGGACGCCAGUCUGCAUGGAGCCGACCUUGAAAUACCACCCUUUAAUGUUUGAUGUUCUAACGUUGACCCGUAAUCCGGGUUGCGGACAGUGUCUGGUGGGUAGUUUGACUGGGGCGGUCUCCUCCUAAAGAGUAACGGAGGAGCACGAAGGUUGGCUAAUCCUGGUCGGACAUCAGGAGGUUAGUGCAAUGGCAUAAGCCAGCUUGACUGCGAGCGUGACGGCGCGAGCAGGUGCGAAAGCAGGUCAUAGUGAUCCGGUGGUUCUGAAUGGAAGGGCCAUCGCUCAACGGAUAAAAGGUACUCCGGGGAUAACAGGCUGAUACCGCCCAAGAGUUCAUAUCGACGGCGGUGUUUGGCACCUCGAUGUCGGCUCAUCACAUCCUGGGGCUGAAGUAGGUCCCAAGGGUAUGGCUGUUCGCCAUUUAAAGUGGUACGCGAGCUGGGUUUAGAACGUCGUGAGACAGUUCGGUCCCUAUCUGCCGUGGGCGCUGGAGAACUGAGGGGGGCUGCUCCUAGUACGAGAGGACCGGAGUGGACGCAUCACUGGUGUUCGGGUUGUCAUGCCAAUGGCACUGCCCGGUAGCUAAAUGCGGAAGAGAU
rnacentral:rRNA from 1 species